AGAGUUUGAUCCUGGCUCAGAACGAACGCUGGCGGCGUGGAUAAGACAUGCAAGUCGAGCGAGAUUUUUCGUUGUAGCAAUACGAUGGAAAGUCUAGCGGCGAACGGGUGCUUAACACGUGGGCAACCUGCCGUGAAGUGGGGGAUAGCUCGCCGAAAGGCGAAUUAAUACCGCAUGUGAUUAGAGAGGACAUCCUUUCGAAAUUAAAGUCGGGGUAACCUGACGCUUCUUGUGGGGCCCGCGGCCUAUCAGCUUGUUGGUGAGGUAACGGCUCACCAAGGCUUUGACGGGUAGCUGGUCUGAGAGGACGACCAGCCACACUGGGACUGAGACACGGCCCAGACACCUACGGGUGGCAGCAGUCGAGAAUUUUUGACAAUGGGGGAAACCCUGAUCGAGCGACGCCGCGUGGAGGAUGAAGGUCUUCGGAUUGUAAACUCCUGUCAUUGGGGAACAAGGUGCAUACGUUAACUGCGUGUGCAUUGAUAGUACCCGAAGAGGAAGAGACGGCUAACUCUGUGCCAGCAGCCGCGGUAAUACAGAGGUCUCAAGCGUUGUUCGGAUUCAUUGGGCGUAAAGGGUGCGUAGGCGGCGCGGUAAGUCGGGUGUGAAAUCUCGGAGCUUAACUCCGAAACUGCAUUCGAUACUGCCGUGCUUGAGGACUGGAGAGGAGACUGGAAUUUACGGUGUAGCGGUGAAAUGCGUAGAUAUCGUAAGGAAGACCAGUGGCGAAGGCGGGUCUCUGGACAGUUCCUGACGCUGAGGCACGAAGGCCAGGGGAGCAAACGGGAUUAGAUACCCUAGUAGUCC
rnacentral:rRNA from 1 species